rnacentral:rRNA from 1 species
GAUGAACGCUAGCGGCAGGCUUAAUACAUGCGAGUCGAGGGGCAGCAGUUUUGUAGCAAUACAGAAGCUGGCGACCGGCAAACGGGUGCGGAACACGUACGCAACCUUCCUCUAACUGGAAGAUAGCCCACCGAAAGGUGGAUUAAUAUUCCAUAGUAUAUUGAAAAGGCAUCUUUUUGAUAUUAAAGCUCCGGCGGUUAGAGAUGGGCGUGCGUCUGAUUAGGUAGUUGGCGGGGUAACGGCCCACCAAGCCUACGAUCAGUAGCUGAUGUGAGAGCAUGAUCAGCCACACGGGCACUGAGACACGGGCCCGACUCCUACGGGAGGCAGCAGUAAGGAAUAUUGGUCAAUGGACGCAAGUCUGAACCAGCCAUGCCGCGUGGAGGAUGAAGGCCCUCUGGGUUGUAAACUUCUUUUCUUUGGGACGAAACCCCUGUUUCUACGGGGACUGACGGUACCAGAGGAAUAAGCACCGGCUAACUCCGUGCCAGCCGCCGCAGUAAGAC